rnacentral:rRNA from 1 species
AUUGAACGCUGGCGGCAUGCUUUACACAUGCAAGUCGAACGGCAGCGCGGGCUUCGGCCUGGCGGCGAGUGGCGAACGGGUGAGUAAUACAUCGGAACGUGCCCAGUAGUGGGGGAUAGCUCAGCGAAAGCCGGAUUAAUACCGCAUACGACCUGAGGGUGAAAGCGGGGGAUCUUCGGACCUCGCGCUAUUGGAGCGGCCGAUGGCAGAUUAGCUAGUUGGUGGGGUAAAGGCCUACCAAGGCGACGAUCUGUAGCUGGUCUGAGAGGACGACCAGCCACACUGGGACUGAGACACGGCCCAGACUCCUACGGGAGGCAGCAGUGGGGAAUUUUGGACAAAGGGCGAAAGCCUGAUCCAGCAAUGCCGCGUGUGUGAUGAAGGCCUUCGGGUUGUAAAGCACUUUUGGCGGGAACGAAAAGGACUGUGCCAAUACCACGGUUCGAUGACGGUACCCGCAGAAUAAGCACCGGCUAACUACGUG